rnacentral:rRNA from 1 species
GGGGAAUAUUGCACAAUGGGCGAAAGCCUGAUGCAGCAACGCCGCGUGAGUGAUGAAGGUCUUCGGAUUGUAAAGCUCUGUCUUUUGGGACGAUAAUGACGGUACCAAAGGAGGAAGCCACGGCUAACUACGUGCCAGCAGCCGCGGUAAUACGUAGGUGGCGAGCGUUGUCCGGAUUUACUGGGCGUAAAGGGUGCGUAGGCGGAUGUUUAAGUGAGAUGUGAAAUACCCGGGCUUAACUUGGGUGCUGCAUUUCAAACUGGAUAUCUAGAGUGCAGGAGAGGAGAAUGGAAUUCCUAGUGUAGCGGUGAAAUGCGUAGAGAUUAGGAAGAACACCAGUGGCGAAGGCGAUUCUCUGGACUGUAACUGACGCUGAGGCACGAAAGCGUGGGUAGCAAACAGGAUUAGAUACCCUGGUAGUCCACGCCGUAAAACGAUGAGUACUAGGUGUAGGAGGUAUCGACCCCUUCUGUGCCGCAGUAAACACAUUAAGUACUCCGCCUGGGAAGUACGAUCGCAAGAUUAAAAC